rnacentral:rRNA from 1 species
AGUGAACGCUGGCGGUAGGCCUAACACAUGCAAGUCGAACGGCAGCACAGUAAGAGCUUGCUCUUACGGGUGGCGAGUGGCGGACGGGUGAGGAAUACAUCGGAAUCUACUUUUUCGUGGGGGAUAACGUCGGGAAACUUACGCUAAUACCGCAUACGACCUACGGGUGAAAGCAGGGGAUCUUCGGACCUUGCGCGAUUGAAUGAGCCGAUGUCGGAUUAGCUAAGUAGCGGGGUAAAGGCACACCAAGGCGACGAUCCGUAGCAGGUCUGAGAGGAUGAUCAGGCACACUGGAACUGAGACACGGUCCAGACUCCUACGGGAGGCAGCAGUGGGGAAUAUUGCACAAUGGGCGCAAGCCUGAUCCAGCCAUACCGCGUGGGUGAAGAAGGCCUUCGGGUUGUAAAGCGCUUUUGUUCGGAAAGAAAAGCAGCAGGUUAAUCCCCCGCUGUUCUGACGGUACCCAAAGAAUAAGCACCGGCUAACUUCGUG